UACAGAGGGUGCGAGCGUUAAUCGGAAUUACUGGGCGUAAAGCGCGCGUAGGCGGCUUGUUGCGUCGGCUGUGAAAUCCCGAGGCUCAACCUCGGGUCUGCAGUCGAUACGAGCAAACUAGAGUGUUGCAGGGGAGACUGGAAUUCCUGGUGUAGCGGUGAAAUGCGCAGAUAUCAGGAGGAACACCGGUGGCGAAGGCGGUUCUCUGGGCCUUACCUGACGCUGAGGAGCGAAAGCGUGGGGAGCGAACAGG
rnacentral:rRNA from 1 species